ensembl:miRNA
CGGGGAUGCCGCGGCGGGGACGGCGAUUGGUCCGGAUGCGUGGUGCCACUGGCCGCCGGCUCCGCCCUGGCCCCCGCCCC